rnacentral:lncRNA from 1 species
GCCCAUCUAUGGGGCAGGGAUGGGAACAGAGACGCGCUGUGCCCAUCUAUGGGGCAGGGGCAGGGACAGGGAGGUGCUGUACCCACUCUAUGGGGCAGGGAUGGGGACAGUGACGCAGUAUGUCCACUUAUGGGUCAGGGACAGGGACACAGUGUGCCCAUCUGUGGGGCAGGGACAGGGACAGGGAUGCGCUGUGCCCAUCUAUGGGGCAGGGACGGGGACAGAGAGGUGCUGUGCCCACUCUAUGGGGCAGGAACGGGGACAGGGAGGUGCUGUACCCACUCUAUGGGGCAGGGAUGGGGACAGUGACGCACUAUGCCCACCUAUGGGGACAGGGACACAGUAUGCCCAUCUGUGGGGCAGGGACAGGGACACAAUGUGCCCAUCUAUGGGGCAGGGAUGGGGACAGAAAGGUGCUGUGCCCAUCUAUGGGGCAGGGACAGGGACACAGUGUGCCCAUCUAUGGGGCAGGGACGGGAACAGAGACGCGCUGUGCCCAUCUAUGGGGCAGGAAGAGGGACGGGGACACGCUGUGCCCAUCUAUGGGGCAGGGACAGGGUGCUGACGCGCUGUGUCCCCCCUGUGGGUCAGGAACGGGGACGCGGAGCUGUUCGUUAACACCAACCGGGCGCCCGCCAGCGGGGACAGCGAGGACGACGACAGCGGGGACACGGAGGACGAGGACAGCGGGGACAGCGGGGACACGGAGGACGGGGACAGCGGGGACACAGAAGAAGGGGACAGCGGGGACACGGAGGACGGGGACAGAGGGGACCCGGGGGGGGCCGACGCCGGCCAUGGCAGCGGGGACGCGGCGCUGCCCCGCUCCCAGUCGGGGACGUAGGGACGCGCGGUGCCCGCAAUAAAGGGCUCACGUCCGCCCCCGCCGCCCCAU